AAAAACAUAAAAAUUAAAAUUUUAAUUAUGAUUUUGGGAUAGAUUGAGCAUAAAAUAAAUUGUCCCAAUUUGGAUCAAAAGUUAAAUUUUGGCCCUCAUUAGACAUUGGCAAAAAAUUCAAGGGCUAAAUUUAGCUUUAAUCCAAUUUUGCUUUUAUAAACAACAAUGGAAUUGUAAAUCCCAUGGAUUUCACAUUCCCUGUUUUAUAAUUCCAUGGAUUUUAAAUUCCCUCCAACCAAACAAUGCCUAGUUAACAUUCUCCAACAUUCAUUUUCCAAUUGAUUCAUUUCUCAUUUCUGCAACCAUAUCCGUCAUCAGUUUCCCAAUGAAAACUGAAACUUACCUUCGCUCCUUAAAUUGGCUCCGA
rnacentral:misc_RNA from 1 species